UACGUAGGUGGCAAGCGUUGUCCGGAUUUAUUGGGUUUAAAGGGUGCGUAGGCGGCCCUGUAAGUCAGUGCUGAAAUAUCCCGGCUUAACCGGGAGGGUGGCAUUGAUACUGCAGGGCUUGAGUACAGAUGAAGUAGGCGGAAUUGACGGUGUAGCGGUGAAAUGCAUAGAUAUCGUCAAGAACACCGAUAGCGAAGGCAGCUUACUAGCUGUAACUGACGCUGAGGCACGAAAGUGUGGGGGAUCAAAACAGG
rnacentral:rRNA from 1 species